CCUACGGGAGGCAGCAGUGAGGAAUAUUGGUCAAUGGUCGGGAGACUGAACCAGCCAAGCCGCGUGAGUGAGGAAGGUACAGAGUAUCGUAAACCUCUUUUGUCAGGGAACAAAGGCGGGGACGUGUCCCCGGAUGAGUGUACCUGAAGAAAAAGCAUCGGCUAACUCCGUGCCAGCAGCCGGGGUAAUCCGGAGGAUGCGAGCGUUAUCCGGAUUUAUGGGGUUGAACGGGUGCGCAGGCGGUCUGUUAAGUCAGCGGUCAAAGCCCGGGGCCCACCCCCGGCCCGCCGUUGACACUGGCAGUCUCGAGUUGGAGAGAAGUAUGCGGAAUGCGCGGUGUAGCGGUGAAAUGCAUAGAUAUCGCGCAGAACUCCGAUUGCGAAGGCAGCAUGCCGGCUCCACACUGACGCUGAGGCACGAAAGCGUGGGUAUCGAACAGGAUUAGAUACCCGUGUAGUC
rnacentral:rRNA from 1 species